AAUUUCACAAAAGUUUGCAUUCAUCAAAUAAUCCCCCAUUGUCUUAAAUUUCAGCUUUGCAAUUUUAAUCUCCAGCUGUCAAUUUAUAAAGAUAUGUAGAGGCAUAGCUUGUUCAAUCAUUAUUAUAGAUGUGUUAUAUAUUAGUUAUGGUAUACAGAAUACUACAGUUUCCAGAAUGCAUAUGCCACAUGUUACCAUUCAAUUUCUGGUAUGUGUGUGUGAUGUAAGUGAUUUCUUAUUGGUUAUGGGGUUUUUCCUGAUUGUGAGUAUUUCUCCUGUUCCAGUUGCUGUAAGUGGGCAAGAGCUCUCUCUGUAGAUGCAUGUUCCUGCAUUAACUGAAUAACAGUGACGAUAUGCAUCUCUCCUAAAUAAAGUUAUUGGCAGCAAAGGACUUGUGUGGAACUACAUCAUCGCUGUGCAAGAAUCUGAUACCAAGGAACUCUGGGCUAUACAUCUUUUCUUAAAAAAAAGGUGUAUUUUGCUGUGCAAUAAACAACUACUGGUAGAAGAAAACUUGUGGAACUGCACUCACCAGCAAACUACAAUAGGAGAAAAUCAGAAGCUGACAUACUUUGGAGCCAAGACACAGUUCAUAAAGGCAUCAAGCUUCACACGACUGGCCUCCCUCUCUUUAAUCAUACAAUCUUCUGCUUGGCACUUUCAGCCCUGAAAC